GCAAACCCCACAGGAUUUGGGGGCACUGCAGGGAUCUUUAGGUUAGGUACGAGCAGCAUUGCUGCAGAGCGAAUGAAGAAGCCAAAAAACACCCACGAGGGGGAGGGAGAGAGAGAGAAGCAACCACCUUCCACCACCAAGGAGGCUAUCACUGGUUGCGUUUGAUGGUGUACGUCCCUUUCGAGACCACAACGGCUUACAGAAGAAUGGGACAGAGUCUGGUGUGGGCUUAGUUUUAUAACAAAACUUGAGUGACUCCCUGGUGGCACUCUGCAUGCAAUUGGCAACGCUUUCCCAGGGGCAACCCGAGGAGUUGCCAACAGCGUAGAACUGGUAGCGACGCGGCAGGGCCGGGGGGUUACUCCCAUUCCCAUAGAAUCCAUGCAUGUAGCACAGUAGCAAUUUUACUUCCUGGGCUCCAGCUGGCCAGCACCUUCAGAGGUUCAGAGGGAUCACAAGUACAGCAUAGAGCCUGGACCGCAUCAGACUCCAGACACUUAUGAACAGCAGUGUACUGGUGUAACACUGGGAUGUCAUGGCUCCUGUUCGGGACCUGCGAGGGGGCACAGAAGAGAACAAACUUCCACACUCCCCGUGUACACGGGGAGAAUCUGGGACCAAUAUUGCAGGGUGAACAUGAAACAGUAACCUAUGUGAAGGUGGCCGUAAUCAGUCGAGGACUUUUCCGGCCUUUUCCUGCCUCAACAUCAGGGUAGGCACUGACAAGCCCACCCAACGUGUAUUUUCCAAUGGCCCCAAGCCAUUUCUUCUUGCUAGCCAAGAAGGGUGGCUGGCAGGAUGGAGAAGACAGUUAUAAUAUUUCUUGAGGGUCAGGUGGUUUAUCCUUCCACUUUUUGAGCUGUGAGGAAUGAAACCAUUUUCACCAGUGUUUCCCAUUUUUUCCAUACAGGAUUUUUACCUGAUAAACACUGGGGCUGGUCCGAUUCACACUAAAGCAGGGGCCAUCCCAGGUGUGUGUCAAAGAGUGCUCCUUUGCUGAAAACUUUUUGUAGAUUACUGGUUGGCCUAAUUCCCAUAUCAAAGGAGGUUUUCCCCAGCCUAGUUUUCUGUCGAUGUUUUGCUGUACUAUGCCUAGCUGUGCUGCCACUCGCUUGUGUAGAGCAGCGAUCAUCUCGACUAAGGUUUGUACCCAUUCAUCUGUUACCACCUUCCCUUCCCAGGCACUAGGCAGUUCUACUCCUAACCACCAACUUUCAGGCAUGCGCAUUUGCCUUCAAAGGGCGUGUACCCAUGUAGUGCCUUAGAGACAUUAAGAUGAUUGGUAGCUUUUCAUCCCCAUCACUCCCUGAGCUCUUUACUUGUUUUCUCAAAGCUUCCUUUAGCAUGCGAUUGGUUCAUUCAACUUGUCCAGAGGACUCAGGAUGUCCAGCUAUGUGGAAACGUUGCUUAAUGCCUAAAGCCUUACAUAGCUCUUGCAUAACAUCUCCCACAAAAUGGGAUCCCAAAUCUGAAUCAAUUCUGGGAAUUCCCAUUCUUGAGAAAACUAUGUUAAAGAGCUGCUUAGCAGUGACCGAGGCAGUGUUGGUUUUAGUAGCAAUGGCUUCCACCCAUUUGGAGAUGGGAUCCACUAUUACCAGGCAGUAUUUAUUCUCUCUACUGGUGGUGAUUAAAGGGCCUAUGUAAUCUAUCUGAAUCUGGGACCAGAGACCCUCUAUUCUUUGGUGCCCCAAUGCAUUUUUUUGAACCUGGUGAUCAGCAUUAACCAUGGUGCACUGCAGACAAUUGUCAAACCGCGUAUCUAUAUCCGCUUUCAUGCCUGGCCACCACUCUGUAUCUUUAACCCUAUUUAAAAUAUUCCUGUUUUCCUCUAUGCCCUUGCUCAACUGCACAAACUGAAUCAGGUCCCCCGGUACCUGGCUGGAGACUAUCCAGUACCUUUGACCACCUGCAUCCACUGCCCACCAGACAUCUCCAACCUGCUCAAUCCUGUAUUUUCCUGUGGGAUCUUUCCCUGUCCUGGCUAGGGACUGGAAUUCUGUAUCCCCAUCUUGAAGGGUACUUAAGUCCAAGGUAUCUAUUCCUUUACCUAAAGUUUUUCCCUGGGUAGUUACUGCCUAUAUUUGUUCUACCUGGUCUGUGUCUCUAGUGUGGUUACUAGUAGCAGUAGUUUUGGCUAAGGCAUCAGCUCGGUUGUUCCAGUGCGCUUCUUCUGAUGUCCCUUCGUGUGGGUCACCCAGGUGUCCCCAGUUCUUUCCUUGAUAACCUGUUUAUCAGUGGGUCUCCCUCCGGAGAUGCACUGAGAACUUAGAAUGUCCACUAGCAAUUGGGCUAAUAUCCCUGGGUUCCCCACUGUAGCCCUUACAGUGGGUCUGCCCCAUACGUCGCACUGAAAUCUUGUGAUUAGCUGGGGAGGCCUGCAGGGAACCGGGCACCCCUACUGAUCAGCCGACUCCCUCGAGAGCCUCCACUGAGAAGAGGGGGCAGGGAUCUGGUUUUGACAGGGAGUAGGCGUGGGGGACGCACUCCGUACCAGGCUAGUGGGCCGGGGCGGGGGGGUUCCCUGCAUUAACUCUUUUCCCCAUGACCUGAGACAAACCAUUCAUCAGGAGGCUGAGGGGCUGACUAUCAUAUUUUCCCCUAACAUAUCCUCCCCUAACUUCACCAGCUCCAUCCAAAUCAUGUUCCUAAGGGUCUCCUUGGGUCGGCGCUGCCCAGGGUUGUGGGAGGUAGGGGGAUUAGAAUUGGGAGGGUGACUGGCAGAGUGAGGACCAUUAUUCACAAAUGUGAUAGCCUGCACUGGCUCUGAGGUAGUCUUUCUGCUGAUUUGUCUUUUUAAGACACCAGUCUCUCGCAGCAAAUCCCCUGCCUGUUUGAUUUUUGCCACUAGUUCAUUCCAGGUGAGGUGCUCUACCUCCACAGCCCCCAUGGCCAUUUCUGUCUGAGAAUUUAGUCCUGCCUAAGUGCUCUGUACUAAUUCGGGUCCCUGAUAAUGGGAAGUAACAAUCCCAUUCUCUUCUGUCAGGUAAUGAAUCAGAGAGAGCUACCAGCAUCUUUUUUUGAAUUAGGUAAGCUUCAGGGGCCUCUCCUGGGUUCUCUCUGCCAUUAUAUAUAGUUUCUUGAGGGAAGCAGGAGGCAGUAAUAUUUUGAGAGCAUUUAUCAUCCAUUCCCAGGGUCCAGCGGCAGUCCACUCCCAAGAACCUAUGCCUAUGUCCAGAGCAUCUUCAUCACAAGGAGAGGCGUAUAACUGAGCCAAUGGGGUUAAGUCCAUGCCAUCAGCAGAGGGGUACAUUUGCCAAAUGCGAGCCGGCAGCGUCACAGUUCAGUGGCCCCAGUCUCUCGGCAAUAGCCUUGGCCUGACAAGGAGACCAUCUUACUACAUCCGUGACCAGCUCCGUCGUGGGAAGAUUGGCUCCUGCAACUGUUUGUGUUUAACCUCCCUUGUGGAAACAGGGGCAACAUUAUGCAUGUACGGCCAAUCAGGGGUGAAUGGGUUUUUGGGGUCAGUAUCAGGGGGUCUCUCUAUUUUCCCAGGAGGCUCCAAAUUGCAAUCCUCUCUCAACCUUACAGCUGCUACCACCCCCUUAUGGGCACUAAAUUUGGCAUGCAAUUUACUAAUCUCUGCCUCACACUUCUGAUGGCCUGCUGCUACCUUGGCUGCCUUAUUCUCAUCUGCCAGGAAGUGAGUUGCUACUCUCACUUCUUCUAACAAAAUUAUUGUGUGUUCGUUCUUUCCUAUACUGUUUUGCAUUCCUGCUGGCCUUGUCUCUCUCUUGCACAUUUUUAAGUACAGUCACCAGUUUAAGCUUUUCUGCUAUAAAGUCACACCCAUCUGUCUGUUCAAAUACUGUUGUAACUGCUUUUUUUCCAGCUCCAGUUCCUGCCUUCCCUUUACCAUUUCACCCAUGUCCAGACAUGCAUAAAAUAAUGCCCAUGCAGUAGUCGCAUCCUUUGCGCUACCCCGUGGCUUAAAGUUUGUGCAAUAUUGUUCAAAGCUCAGACUUGCUUCAAUCAGGGGAUUCUCACCCUUAAAGCACCCCCUUUCCCAGGGGCAUUUCCCCUUUUUCAUUGCCCAUCUCUCUAACCUGUUGGUUUUCUCCUGUCUCAAGCGAGCAGCCAAGGUGUUUUUUUUCAGCCAUCUCUACUUCCUUUAUCUCACUAAUGAUCCCUACCAAAAGCCCUUUCACGCAGUCACAGUAUUGCUCUAAAAUUUUUACUUUUGAGGCACAACUCCAACUCCUUCUUGCAUGGUCCUACAGUUAUUCUAAGCACGAUUCUUAAAAGUUACAGGAUGUUACCUAUGAGAGAGGGACCUCGCUGAAGGAGCUUAGUCUGAAAAAGGAAGAGACAGUUUGCACAGAUCUGUGCCUCAGUUUUCCCACUCUGGAGCAACUCAGCAAGUACCACAUGAUUAGGGUCAUGUGCUGCCCACAUUCUCCACCAAUUUGUUACCACAUUUGCCCGUUACUUUGGGGUAUGCUCAUUAGGGUUACUCUUCUGUGGGGGGAGGGGGGUUCUGUAAUUCUGUCAAUGUACUGCUUGUGUUCCCAUACAGAGCUCUACUUCUCCCUGCUGCAGUUCCCUCCCAAUGGACCUAGGUUCCCCAGGGCUGGGUUCUUCCAGCCCCAGAAUCAGACAGACACACACGCACACACACGAACAGAGAGCAUCUGAGAGGACUGGGUUAAUCAGCACGCCCAAGCUGACCUCUUAUACGUCCCUGGACUCAUGCAGCUGGGUCCAGCAGCACCUCCAAGCUGUCACCCUCAUAUGUCCCAAUGGGAGCUUCGGGGGAGAUACCUGGAAGCAAGAGCAACACGGAGCCCUCUGCCCCCCCGCCCCCAGCCUGCAGGGACCUGGUUCUGACUGCUUCCUGGAGCGGAGCGGAGAGGGGCCGGGCCGGGCCGGGCCAGGGAAGGCAGGCAGGGAGCCUGCCCUGGCCCCGGUGCAUGCCGCUGCCACCUCGGAGCCACUCUAGACACAACACUAUGAUAGAAAGCAGCGGAUGCCACACCACAGAGCCUAUUAUGGGACAUCCUGAGGUUUUCACUGGAAACAUGGCCUCUGGUUCUUACUCCAGGACAGAAAAGACAGUAACUGGGAAUAUGCCUUUAAUCGUUAUCAACCUGGCUUAUCAGACGGCAUGUUGAGUUCCUCCUUCCAAGACUGCAGGUCCAGAUUACUUUCAUCCAAGAGUUUUAAAAGAACUGGCUGAGGAACUUCCUGGACUGUUAAUGUUACCACAAUGCAACCAAAUUCGAAGCAGAGGGAAGGAGGGCGGGUAGUAGAAUGAAGAUAGGGACCCCACAUCUCAAAGACCCUCCAGUUACAAACACCAGAGCAUGCCUGAUGUCAAGGGAGCGAGGUGUCCAGUCUUUGGAAGAAGCAUGGGGUUUUGGGAAGAAUACAGGAAACCCAACCACCUGGAGCCAUGAGUCCUUUCACAUGACCCAUCCUGUGGCCAAACUUCUGGUUGCUGUACCUGCGGCAUCUACUGCAGUCUGAAGAGCCACCUUUGGCUACUAGCUUCCCCUCAUCCAGAAAGGACUGGAACUGGGCUCCGUCUUCCAUGGGAAGUUUGUCCCUAAAGUCUGCAAGCCUGAUGGGCACAAGAUGCUGGUGUGUGCCAAACCGCUCUGGUUGGUUCUAAUAUAGCCUCGUUAUUUGGAAGGGCCACUCGGUCCCUGUAAGUGUCUAAGGGACAGGGCUGAGGGCCGUGGACCUCUUCUAAUGGGAUCUGUAGAUCGUUAGCAACCUUUUGCCACAGCUCCUGAUGCUGAUGGUGGUCAUCCAGUGGAGAAGGCAAUGGAGUGACAGCAUCGUCUGGAGAUGAUGAUGAUGAGGCCCCCAUCAGAACAGGUUCCAGCUCUUCCUCCUCAUACUCUAAUGGAACUGGCUGACAAGAGGGGGAGGAAUGGCUAUGCACAGAAUGAAGGAGGAUACAAAAUUCUGUCUCAGGUCAUGCUGCGGUAAGAAGGAACGGAAGAGGUGUGAACCUGCACGGCCGCUUAUGCCCUCGGUCGGAAGUACGAGGGAAGCUUCUGUGCAUGUGCAUGUCAGUUGACACUGCUUUGAAGAAUUUCUGGACUCAGGCACAUGUACACCCAUUUGUGGACUACACAUGGGGCCCAUCACUCGAAGAAGAAUGGAGUGUCUGAUAUGGGUCGGGACUCUUAAUAAAAAGUAAUGCCAAUCAGCAUGGGUUUAUGGAAAA